GACGAACGCUGGCGGCGUGCCUAAUACAUGCAAGUCGAGCGGACGGAUGGGAGCUUGCUCCCAGACCGUCAGCGGCGGACGGGUGAGUAACACGUGGGCAACCUGCCUGUAAGACUGGGAUAACUCCGGGAAACCGGGGCUAAUACCGGAUAACUCUUUCCCUCACAUGAGGGAAAGCUGAAAGAUGGCAUCUCGCUAUCACUUACAGAUGGGCCCGCGGCGCAUUAGCUAGUUGGUGAGGUAACGGCUCACCAAGGCGACGAUGCGUAGCCGACCUGAGAGGGUGAUCGGCCACACUGGGACUGAGACACGGCCCAGACUCCUACGGGAGGCAGCAGUAGGGAAUCUUCCGCAAUGGACGAAAGUCUGACGGAGCAACGCCGCGUGAGUGAUGAAGGUUUUCGGAUCGUAAAACUCUGUUGUCAGGGAAGAACAAGUACCGGAGUAACUGCCGGUACCUUGACGGCACCUGACCAGAAAGCCACGGCUAACUACGUG
rnacentral:rRNA from 1 species